rnacentral:sRNA from 15 species
CAUGGACCCAAAGGCUGUUCAGCGACUCCCAAAUAUUUCGUAUAGGCAUAUAAGUCAUGGGAAUAA